rnacentral:rRNA from 1 species
UACGUAGGGGUGCGAGCGUUAAUCGGAAUUACUGGGCGUAAAGCGUGCGCAGGCGGUUUUGUAAGUCAGAUGUGAAAUCCCCGGGCUUAACCUGGGAACUGCGUUUGAAACUACAAGGCUAGAGUGUGGCAGAGGGGGGGUGGAAUUCCACGUGUAGCAGUGAAAUGCGUAGAGAUGUGGAGGAACACCGAUGGCGAAGGCAGCCCCCUGGGGUUAACACUGACGCUCAGGCACGAAAGCGUGGGGAGCAAACAGG